AACGCAUAUGGCACCCGAGACCUUGGUCGAGGGUAUGUCUGCCUCAGAGUCGGCGUAAAAACAUCCCCGAGGGUACACAGUGCCUUAUCGGGGGAGCUGGCUUUCCCAAGGGAUCUAUCCCGCCGGGGUAAAUCCGUGGGUCUGCCGAAGGGUAGAGACGGAGGACCGGGUUCAGCACCGGGCAGCCACGAUUUGGUGGGAGGAUACCUCGUUAUCCGCAUCAUCGUCGUGCGCCCAAACGCCCCGGGUCGCACCGCCCUGCAGGAAUAUUUUAUCUGAGAUCCGACCUGAGUUCAGGCAAGACCACCCGCUGAACUUAA
rnacentral:misc_RNA from 1 species